ACUCCUACGGGAGGCAGCAGUGGGGAAUAUUGCACAAUGGGCGCAAGCCUGAUGCAGCCAUGCCGCGUGUGUGAAGAAGGCCUUCGGGUUGUAAAGACUUUCAGUCGUGAGGAAGGUGAGUAGUAGUUAAUAGCUUGCUAUAUUUGACGUUAGCGAACAAGAAGAAGCGACCGGCUAAACUCCGUGCCAGCAGCCGCGGUAAUACGGAGGGUGCGAGCGUUAAUCGGAAUUACUGGGCGUAAAGCGCAUGCAGGUGGUUUGUUAAGUCAGAUGUGAAAGCCC
rnacentral:rRNA from 1 species